rnacentral:lncRNA from 1 species
UAAAAUUUAUUAAUAUGCAAUAAAAGAAAAAAAAUAGAAAAUAGAAAAUAAAAUAUAUAUAAAUAAAAUACAAAUAAAAUUGGGUUGCCUCCCAACAAACGCUUGUUUAACGUCGUUAGCUUGACGCCCCAACUAGUAUUGGGGUUGUUCUAGCUAAAUUCUUUCAAUUGUACGAGCUUGGAAAUUCUCUUUUUUUACCACAUCCACC